rnacentral:lncRNA from 1 species
GUUCAUUCGCACAAGGAUGACAUUGCCCAGUGAUUCAUUUCUCAAAAUGUUUCUCAAAAUGGUAUCAACACAUACCAUACUUUAAAUCAUCUCUAGGUUACUUGUAAUACCUAAUACAAUGUAAAUGUUAUAUAAAUUGUUGUUAUGUUGUAUUGGUUUUUUAAUAUUUAUUUUUAUUAUGUUUUCAUCAUAUAUUGUCAAUCCAAGGAUAGUUGAAUCCAAAAAUUUGGAACCCAAGUGUAUUAGUCAGGGUUCCCUAGAGGGACUAAUACGAUAUAGAUAGAUACAUAUAGAUAUAGAUAUGGGAACUUAUUAAAUAUUAACUUACAUGAUCACAAGGUCCCACAAUAGGCUGUCUGCAAGCUGAGGAGCAAGGAGAGCCAGUCCGAGUCUCAGAACUGGAGAAUUUGGAAUCCGAUGUUUGAGGGCAGGAAGCAUCCACCAUGAGAGAAAGAUGUAGGCUUGGAGGCUAAGCCAGUCUCGCCUUUUCACAUUUUUCUGCCUGCUUUAUAUUCGCUGGCAGCUGAUUAGAUUGUGCUCACCCAGAUUAAGGGUGGGUCUGCCUUCCCCCGCCAACUGACUCAAAUGUUAAUCUCCUUUGGCAACACCCACCCACAGACAAACCCAGGAUUAAUACUUUGCAUCCUUCAGUCCAAUCAAGUUGACACUCAGUAUUAACCAUCACACCGAGGAUACGGAUGGCCAAUUAUAUAGUUAGAAAUAAACAUCACCGAGACAGAAGUCUAAAAGCAUUUCCACUUCUCUGCUUUUGCUGACUCUAGCAGGCACCAAGAAGAAUCCACUGAGUCCAGGUAAUUGACUCAUUUACUCAUUGUCAUAACUAUGAGAAAGGCACUCCAGAUAGGAUUAUCGGAUUUAGCAAAUAAAAACACAGACCAGGCCGGGCGCGGUGGCUCAAGCCUGUAAUCCCAGCACUUUGGAAGGCCGAGACGGGCGGAUCACGAGGUCAGGAGAUCAAGACCUCACGAGGUCAGGAGAUUGAGACCAUCCUGGCUAACACGGUGGAACCCCGUCUCUACUAAAAAAUACAAAAAAAAACUAGCCGGUCGAGGUGGCGGGCGCCUGUAGUCCCAGCUACUCAGGAGGCUGAGGCAGGAAAAUGGCGGGAGGCGGAGCUUGCAGUGAGCUGAGAUCCGGCCACUGCACUCCAGCCUGGGCGACAGAGCGAGACUCUGUCUCAAAAAAAAAAAAAAAAAAAAAAA